GCCAGCUUGACUGCGAGCGUGACGGCGCGAGCAGGUGCGAAAGCAGGUCAUAGUGAUCCGGUGGUUCUGAAUGGAAGGGCCAUCGCUCAACGGAUAAAAGGUACUCCGGGGAUAACAGGCUGAUACCGCCCAAGAGUUCAUAUCGACGGCGGUGUUUGGCACCUCGAUGUCGGCUCAUCACAUCCUGGGGCUGAAGUAGGUCCCAAGGGUAUGGCUGUUCGCCAUUUAAAGUGGUACGCGAGCUGGGUUUAGAACGUCGUGAGACAGUUCGGUCCCUAUCUGCCGUGGGCGCUGGAGAACUGAGGGGGGCUGCUCCUAGUACGAGAGGACCGGAGUGGACGCAUCACUGGUGUUCGGGUUGUCAUGCCAAUGGCACUGCCCGGUAGCUAAAUGCGGAAGAGAUAAGUGCUGAAAGCAUCUAAGCACGAAACUUGCCCCGAGAUGAGUUCUCCCUGACUCCUUGAGAGUCCUGAAGGAACGUUGAAGACGACGACGUUGAUAGGCCGGGUGUGUAAGCGCAGCGAUGCGUUGAGCUAACCGGUACUAAUGAACCGUGAGGCUUAACCUUACAACGCCGAAG
rnacentral:rRNA from 1 species